CCUUCGGGGUACUCGAGCGGCGAACGGGUGAGUAACACGUGAGCAACCUGCCCUAGGCUUUGGGAUAACCCCGGGAAACCGGGGCUAAUACCGAAUAGGACCACCGGCUGCAUGGCUGGUGGUGGAAAGUUUUUCGGCCUGGGAUGGGCUCGCGGCCUAUCAGCUUGUUGGUGGGGUGAUGGCCUACCAAGGCGACGACGGGUAGCCGGCCUGAGAGGGCGACCGGCCACACUGGGACUGAGACACGGCCCAGACUCCUACGGGAGGCAGCAGUGGGGAAUAUUGCACAAUGGGCGGAAGCCUGAUGCAGCGACGCCGCGUGAGGGAUGACGGCCUUCGGGUUGUAAACCUCUUUCAGCAGGGACGAAGCGAGAGUGACGGUACCUGCAGAAGAAGCACCGGCCAACUACGUGCCAGCAGCCGCGGUAAGACGUAGGGUGCGAGCGUUGUCCGGAAUUAUUGGGCGUAAAGAGCUCGUAGGCGGCUUGUCGCGUCGACUGUGAAAACCCGCGGCUCAACCGCGGGCCUGCAGUCGAUACGGGCAGGCUAGAGUUCGGUAGGGGAGACUGGAAUUCCUGGUGUAGCGGUGAAAUGCGCAGAUAUCAGGAGGAACACCGAUGGCGAAGGCAGGUCUCUGGGCCGAUACUGACGCUGAGGAGCGAAAGCGUGGGGAGCGAACAGGAUUAGAUACCCUGGUAGUCCACGCUGUAAACGUUGGGCGCUAGGUGUGGGGGACCUCUCC
rnacentral:rRNA from 1 species